rnacentral:rRNA from 1 species
UACAGAGGGUGCGAGCGUUAAUCGGAAUUACUGGGCGUAAAGCGCGCGUAGGCGGCUUUGCAAGUCGGGUGUGAAAUCCCCAGGCUUAACCUGGGAACUGCAUUCGAGACUGCAUUGCUAGAGUAUGGGAGAGGGAAGCGGAAUUUCCGGUGUAGCGGUGAAAUGCGUAGAUAUCAGGAGGAACACCGAUGGCGAAGGCAGGUCUCUGGGCAUUAACUGACGCUGAGGAGCGAAAGCAUGGGGAGCGAACAGG